CAGCUGGCACACAAAUCAGUACACACAGAGAAAUACAGAGACACAAACACAGUUUCAGACAAACGGAAGAGACAAACGGGGAAACAAAAAUAAAAUGCCGGCUUCAAAAAUGCAUCCAUUUUCCAACUUGCAAAGUUAGUCCUCUGAGUGAUACAACUCGAAACCCAAUAUAAUCCAAUAUAAGUCCUAUUUCAAGAGCGAUUCAACCCCUUUUUCAAUGUUUGACCAGAGAAAAAUUAAUUUAACAUACUUUUCAAGAUUUAACCGAUGAAUAGAGCGAUUCAACGCGAAACCCAAUAUAAGUCCAAUAAAGCGAUUCAGCUUGAUUCCAAUAUAAGUCCUAUAGAGCGAUUCAACUCCUUUUCAAUGUUUCACCAGAGAAAAAUUAAUUUAACAUACUUUACUAGAUUUAACCGAUAUAGGC